UACAGAGGGUGCGAGCGUUGUCCGGAAUCACUGGGCGUAAAGGGCGCGUAGGCGGCUUGAUAAGGUUGCGGUGAAAGCCCGGGGCUCAACCCCGGGUCGGCCGUGGCAACUGUCGAGCUGGAGCACUGUAGAGGCAGGUGGAAUUCCGGGUGUAGCGGUGGAAUGCGUAGAGAUCCGGAAGAACACCGGUGGCGAAGGCGGCCUGCUGGGCAGUGGCUGACGCUGAGGCGCGACAGCGUGGGGAGCGAACAGG
rnacentral:rRNA from 1 species